rnacentral:rRNA from 1 species
GACGAACCGUGCGAACGUUAUUCGGAAUCACUGGGCUUAAAGCGCGUGUAGGCGGAAGGGCACGUCCGUUGCUGAAAUCCCCCGACUCAACCGGGGAAGUGGCGCCGAUACGGCCGGCCUGGAGGGACGUAGGGGGGGCUGGAACUUCCGGUGGAGCGGUGAAAUGCGUUGAGAUCGGAAGGAACGCCCGUGGCGAAAGCGAGCCCCUGGACGUCUACUGACGCUGAGACGCGAAAGCCAGGGGAGCGAACGGG